UACGUAGGUGGCAAGCGUUGUCCGGAUUUAUUGGGUUUAAAGGGUGCGUAGGCGGUCAUGUAAGUCAGCGGUGAAAUCCGGCAGCUCAACUGUCGAUGUGCCAUUGAUACUGCAUGACUUGAGUACUGAUGAGGUAGGCGGAAUUGACGGUGUAGCGGUGAAAUGCUUAGAUAUCGUCAAGAACACCGAUAGCGAAGGCAGCUUACUAAGCAGUAACUGACGCUGAUGCACGAAAGUGUGGGGAUCAAACAGG
rnacentral:rRNA from 2 species